CUUUGAGUUCAGCUUGUCUGCAGUAAGUUUCAAAAUCACUUGAAAUUCUCUCUUUAGUAAAUAACCCUGUUUGUGCUGAGAAUGUUACACUUCUCACAGCUCUCAUAUCACCACAAUGUAGAUCCAUGGACGGGACAAGCUCAAAUCACUUGUCCAAAUCUCAAACCCCGGGGCCGGCUCUCCAGGUGUCCAGUGAGACAGUUACAGCUGUUUCUGCUGCAUAUCUCCUUGUGC